rnacentral:rRNA from 1 species
GACGAACGCUGGCGGCGUGCCUAAUACAUGCAAGUAGAACGCUGAAGGAGGAGCUUGCUCUUCUGGAUGAGUUGCGAACGGGUGAGUAACGCGUUGGAACCUGCCUGGUAGCGGGGGAUAACUAUUGGAAACGAUAGCUAAUACCGCAUAACAGUAGAUGUUGCAUGACAUUUACUUAAAAGGUGCAAUUGCAUCACUACCAGAUGGACCUGCGUUGUAUUAGCUAGUUGGUGGGGUAACGGCUCACCAAGGCGACGAUACAUAGCCGACCUGAGAGGGUGAUCGGCCACACUGGGACUGAGACACGGCCCAGACUCCUACGGGAGGCAGCAGUAGGGAAUCUUCGGCAAUGGACGGAAGUCUGACCGAGCAACGCCGCGUGAGUGAAGAAGGUUUUCGGAUCGUAAAGCUCUGUUGUAAGAGAAGAACGAGUGUGAGAGUGGAAAGUUCACACUGUGACGGUAUCUUACCAGAAAGGGACGGCUAACUACGUG